CUCCUUCUUAGGAUCAGCUGUUAAACACACAACAUGCUCCACAUACAAGACAGCCUGCCUGAAACAGCUUUAUCCGAUCACAAGGACAAUCAUUCCUGCCAUGCAGCCAAGUAUUCUAUGCCUUGAUCCAGCUGGCACUGGACUUUGUGCUGGCUGAUUUUCACAUUCCAGUGUUGAGCUCCAGAAAGGGGUGAGAAUUUGUCCUUGAAACAAACCUAAAUCAAAGAAAACUCUUAUUUUGUUUUCCUCUCCCUAAUAAUGUUCCUCCACUCAUUUGCCCUCCAGUUUACAAUCACUAACCCUUUCAUGCAUGGAUGAACUUGGAAAAUCAUUUAGAAUGGAAAUUGGCUGAACUGGUUAACAAACGCCAGGUAAUUAUACCUUGGAGGCUUGUUGGUAGAUCAGAUAUUGGAAAGUAAUGUUUCAAGCUGCUUUCUCAAACUUUGUAACCAUUAAAACUUGAA